AUACGGAGGAUGCGAGCGUUAUCCGGAUUUAUUGGGUUUAAAGGGAGCGUAGGUGGGAUAUUAAGUCAGCUGUGAAAGUUUGGGGCUCAACCUUAAAAUUGCAGUUGAUACUGGUUUCCUUGAGUACGGUAUAGGUGGGCGGAAUUCGUGGUGUAGCGGUGAAAUGCUUAGAUAUCACGAAGAACUCCGAUCGCGAAGGCAGCUCACCGGGCCGGAACUGACACUGAUGCUCGAAGGUGCGGGUAUCAAACAGGAUUAGAUACCCUGGUAGUCCGCACAGUAAACGAUGAAUACUCGCUGUUUGCGAUACACUGUAAGCGGCCAAGCGAAAGCGUUAAGUAUUCCACCUGGGGAGUACGCCGGCAACGGUGAAACUCAAAUGAAUUGACGGGG
rnacentral:rRNA from 1 species